CUCGCGUAGACACUAGGAGACACGAUUUGUGUACGAAAACCUUUGAGAAGAUUUCUAAACCCAACAACCGACUGAACCACCUUCUGCCACCAACACGGGUGGCCGCGCACGGACGGACUUUGCGUAAUAAGGACUGUUUGUCUCUGCCAAAGUGUCGUACUAAUAGAUACAAAAAUAGUUUUAUUCCAGCAAUGUGCUUUGAGUUAAGGAACAAACUUCAAUGAUAG